AAAAAAAGCGUUGGCCUUUCUUCUGAGAUAAUAGUUACUGCUCAGUAAAAUUUUACUGGGUUUUCAUUUAAUAAUCAAUUGUCUGAACUGGAUGGAUUUUUAAAUUAUUGAGAGUAAUUGACUUAAUUCUUUCUCUGUGCAUGUAAUACACAUUGGGGAGCCAGGAUUCUAACACGUGAUAUACAUUGGGGAGCUAAGAUUCAAAUGGGUAUUAGCUCACAGAAUGGCUGUUGAGCUGUACGCCAAUACUCCAUAGGGAAUUAAAGUGUUAAACUACGCUUACUUUGCUUUAAACCUCAACAAUGGGGACCUAUCCCUGUCUGUUUCAAUCAAGCUGCUGCCAGAGGACAUUUGCAUUGAAGGAAACAGAAUUUUAGGUACACUGUUCUCUUACUCUCAAUGCACCUUGACUGAGGGGGCAGGGCUGUCAGAACAGUAAUAGAGUUAGUAAUAGAAGGAAUUAUCAUCUGUUUUUGUGUCCUUCUAAGAAUUAUAUACAUUUCCUUAAGGACCUCUCACACAUUAGUAAGUUCAGUAAGUUCAGAACAUAAAAUAUGGCAUUUCUACCCAUAUUUGUUAGGAUGUAGGAAGACUUUACAUUACAUAGUAAAUCAGGGAAGAAGUUAGCAUGAAUUCUAAAGGAACAGGAAGCACAUUGAUCUUCAGGAAAGAUCAAAAUCAAGUGGGGAUGAGGAUCCUUAUCCUUACAGUAGUCAAUGCAGGCUGACAGGAGCUGUUAGAGAGGACUGUGACUCCCAAAAUCAGGUCAACAGAACAACUCAGUCCCUGGCAGCAGUCCCUGGCUUACAAAGGGCCAUAUAAAUUGCUCAGCUGCACUGCUGAUGCAGAAUCCACCUUAGCAUGGGGCUGAGCAGUGGGAAGAGAUUAAAGGGGAAUAGAAGCAAGAAUUGAGUGAGGUAUUACAGUUAAGACACAAGUUAGAGGAGAUCAAUGGUGGAUCAGUUUAUGCAAAUGUCACAUGGUUAGUUUUAUCCGCUGGCUUACAUAUGCCAGUGGAGAAAAGCUUUUCACCCCCUCUGGGUACAGACUGUGAGCGCAACGGAUCCAGCACAGAAAUGUUGAAGUAUGCAUUUUUGUGCCACAAUCCAUUCUGUGUGUGACUUUACAGGCCCUUCCCAUGCACAUAGAUAGAGGGCUGAAUGGCAGCAGAUUUGCUUUUCUCUACUGGCGUACCUUUGCCAGCUGAAAAAACUACAUGUGUGCUCCUUAAAUGUGGAAAUAAAUGGUCUGUAUCCCCUCUUUUCUUUUGCAUGGUAAACACAUACCAUUUACUGUGUUUUUGUUGUUUUUUUAAGAAUAUUAAAGUGCAACGUUUUACAUAUAAAAAUUACAAGCAUCAUUUCUUCAUAAGGAAUAGGAAAGUAAAAUUAAAUGAUGUUAGAAUAUAAUUUCAGCAAGAGCAAAUAAUCUUCUGGCUGCCACCCCUAAACUGCAUAUUCAAUAUAUGUCUAUUUGUUUGAAAGUCAAUCUUUGUAUUUGCAAAGGGCAGACUUGUGUCCCUUUAAAUUUUUGUUUUUUGAAAGCUUCUCCCAAACCCCUCUGUGCAAAUUCUGCAUCCCUUGUGACUUAGAGAAAUAUUACCCCACGGGAGGUUAAUGUUUAAUGAGGGUUGUCUUCUAACAUUUGUCCUGUCUGAGUCGUCACGGACAUCGCACACUUUGUGAACCAAGAAGGAAAGGAGCAGUUGUGUGAGACUGAACUCAUGGCUGAUGGACGACAUGAGUCAGCUGCAAGAGAAGUUCACCUAUGACUAUGAGGCAGUCAGGAAAGGUGGACUCAUCUUUGCAGCAAUAGCAUUUGUGGU